CUCCUCCCCCUCCGCCGCCAUAAUCACUUCCUGCCUCCAGCCGGGAGGAGCCGGCGGGGAAGAAGGCCAGGCCAGCCCAAGCAGGCAGGCAGCUCUGCUUGCUGCGGGAGGUCCACGCCGGCCCGAGGCGACCCGCCACCCCCCGCAGGUGCCACCAGCCUUGGAAAGGUGUAUGGAGGAGGCGGUGAUUGGCAACCUGAGUGCAAGUACAUCAUGAGGGUGAGCAAGACCUUGGAGUCAACUUGAGCCUAACCUGUGACAACACCUUCUUUUGGGACUGGCAUUUGCUCUGCGACUCUCAUCAAAGGACUCUAUUCAUUGCAGAGAAUGGCCUGAAUGUUAAGCUGCACAUGGGCCUGUUCAUUGAGAUGCUUUGUGCCGCUAGAUCUGACUUCGCCGAGGGAGAGAGAAGCAGGGACUCCUUGCAGCAGCAGCAUCCCCCCCCCCCCACCAGGAGGGGUCUGGUCCCCUCCCCUGCUCCUUUCCAAGGAGGCUUUGCUGCUGCGCUGUAGAGUAGCAGGCUUGGCUGCUGAAGAGAGGGCUUUAGGAGACCCUUCCAGGAGGAAGAGGAGAAGGAGGUGCUUGGAUUUCACACCCCUUAAGAUGUGUGCUCCUUCGGAUCCUGUUGCACUGAAUGAGUAAGGAAGGAGUCGCUGAGCCAUGUCGCAGAUGUUGCACAUAGAAAUCCCCAACUUUGGGAACACUGUCUUAGGCUCUCUGAACGAGCAGCGGCUCCUGGGCCUUUACUGUGAUGUCUCCAUUGUCGUCAAGGGUCAAGCCUUCAAGGCGCAUCGGGCUGUCCUGGCGGCCAGCAGCCUCUAUUUCAGAGACUUGUUUAGUGGGAACAGCAAGAGCGCAUUUGAGCUCCCUGGCUCUGUGCCCCCCACCUGCUUCCAGCAAAUCCUGUCCUUUUGUUACACCGGGAAGCUGACCAUGGCCGCCAGCGAGCAGCUUGUCGUGAUGUACACGGCAGGCUUCCUCCAGAUUCAACACAUUGUGGAAAAAGGGACAGACUUGAUGUUCAAAGUGAGUUCCCCGCACUGUGACUCCCAAACGGCGAUGAUUGAGGAGCCCAGCUCGGAGCCCCAGAGCCCCUGCAACCCCUUGCAGCCAGUGGCCAUCCCCUACGUCAUGUCUCCUUCCGUGCCCAUCCCGCUCCUCACACGGGUCAAGCACGAAAACCCGGAGCUGCAGCCGACGGCCGGGCUGCCUGCAAAGAGGUCCCUGGAGGCCAGUCUCCGGGAGGUGACCGGGGGCAGCUCCUCCAGCUCAGGGGCUGCGCUCAAGUUGUCUCGCCUCUCCUACUAUGGAGUGCCCAGCCUCGCCACACUCCUCCCAAACAUCCUGCCCCAGGCUCAGUAUGCCCAGGGGGAGCGGACGAGCCCCGGCGCCAGCAGCAUCCCCACCACAGACAGCCCCACCUCCUACCACAACGAAGAGGACGAGGAGGACGACGAAGCCUACGACACCAUGGCGGAAGAGCAGUACGGACAGAUGUACAUCAAGUCUACUGGCGGCUACGCAGCCCCUCAGGAGAAACCAGAGCAGGUGCCCUUAGAGAGCCGCUCCUGCGUCCUCAUCCGGCGUGACUUGGUUGCUCUGCCUGCCAGUCUCAUCAGUCAAAUCGGGUAUCGGUGCCAUCCGAAACUCUACUCAGAAGGCGAUCCUGGAGAAAAACUUGAACUUGUUGCAGGCUCUGGUGUUUACAUCACUCGGGGGCAACUGAUGAACUGCCACCUUUGCGCCGGUGUGAAGCACAAAGUCCUCCUGCGGCGCCUGCUGGCAACCUUCUUUGACAGGAACACACUGGCCAAUAGCUGUGGAACAGGAAUCCGCUCUUCCACCAGUGACCCGAGCAGGAAGCCUCUUGACAGUCGGGUCCUUAAUGCUGUGAAAUCAGGGGCAGAGAGGCUACCUCUAAACACCAGGACCAAUAACACAAUUCAUCAAAGAGCUCAAGCGCAGCUUUCCAGGCAGAGAGACAGAAACAGAAGUUGUCGGAGGAUUCUGAGGAUCUUGGCAUCCCAGGAAUUUUGGAAGAAGCUGAUCAGGUAGCCAGGAAACAGGCAGAGGUUAGAACUGCUGCCUCCCCUGUAAGGGUGGGGGGGAGAGAGAGUGAGUGAUUAUCAUAGGCUGAGAGCUUUCUUGGAGGCGCAGCUGCCCGUGUGGGUGCCCAGCCCAGAUCCACGCCUAACUCUAACUCUGGCUCUUCAUUCUUUGGCCAGCGGUGGUGGUGGGUGCAUGCUGGGGGCCUUCCUGCCCUUCUACUUGGCUUCAUGCUUUUUCCCUUUGGAGGGGAGGGGGGUCGCUGUUUGUGUCUUGGCUGUCUCUCCCCACCCCCACCCCCUUGUCUGCAGAGCUCCCAGUUAGGGCAGCAAUUCCUUCAACUGCAUUCCUUGGUACUUCUGAAUUGCUAGAUUGUUUCUGAGUGAGUGAAAUGCAAGUCGGGAUUGGAGCUUAAUUUUUGUUCCUUACUCAUAGUUUUAGGAUAUGUGUCUUUCUGCUUUCUGCCCACCUUCCCUUUCAGAGGAAGAUCAUGUAAAAUACGUGACAGCAGAGAAGAAGGUGGGGGCCUUUCCCAGUUCUGAUUGUUUGAGCUGCUUUGCCCAGCGUGGAGAAGACAUGGAAUAGUCAUGUCCAUUAACUUAAAUGGGUCUAACUUGGGAUAUCCUCCCCCUCACGCAUGGAGUUUAACGGGAGCGCAAAUGUCUUGGCGCAGGACAGGCAGCCAUUUACCCUGGGCAAAGAGAGGCUGUCUCUGCUUUCUGCAUGUUUUGAAAUGUGCAGGUUCACCGUCAUGCUUGAAAGGCGUUGGGUACAAAGCAGAUUUCGGAGUGCUGUGUUUGGCUGACGGGCAGCCGGUACGUGUGCAAAUGACAGAGCAGGUUGGGGUGGGUCUGAGUUUGGGGAGAGGGCAGACAGGCAGGCCUGUGUGACCAGUUCAGGUUACUGUUUUGGGGGUACUUGCAGUGAUCUGCCACAGUUCAGAUGCAAUCGGAGGCUCCACAUCAUGUCUGUCUUAGGGGGGCAGGGAGGAAUCCGCCGUGGCCUGAUCGGGCUACUUGCCAGAAAGGGAAGGGCAAAGAGUGCCCUCCCCAGCCUUUUGUUUUGAACAGCGAGUAUCUCUUAGGCCAGCAUUUCCCAGCUAGUGGGCCACCAGAUGUUGUUGGACCACAACUCCCAUCAGCCUCAGCCAGCAUUGCCAAUGGUCAGGAAAGAUGGGAAUUGUGGUCCAACAACAUCUGGUGGCCCAUUAGUUGGGAAAGGCUGUCUUAGGCUAAUAGAGAACGGCUUUUGCUCUGGGCUCCGCCCCUUAGCCAUCCCCCAAAUGUUGCCUUCGCUCCACACCCAGACCUGUUCUGAAUGCCAUCCCCCCAAAAACCAAGACUUGGCAAUCUUAAUCCCGGCAUGGACAUUGCUGGAGUGCCCCGCAACCAGCAUGUGUGAGAGAUGCUGAGAGCUUCCCCCCCCCCGCCCGGCAAACUCCCUCUUUCCCAGCACAAAUCCUCCUUGGUGUGGUGGUUUGUUUCUGUUUCUCGAGGCGGGAUUUCCCCCAUGGAUGUCAGUCAGGGAGGCAGCAUCUCUGCUAUGAUCCUGUGGAAGGAGGGAAUGUAAAGAGCCGGCUGGGUAGUGGCCAUGCUGAGUUUUUGGGAUGCAGAACUCAGGUGAGGGCAGGCUUCUGAAGCUCCAAAGUGGCUCCUUUGUGAAUAGGGCAGCUUCUGAGCCAAUGGCACAGCAAGCAAGGUUUGGGGUUUUGCUCUCUUCCUAGCCCCUCCCUCUAACCAAGAUGGCGCUCUCGUCUUUUGCCACACAGCUGUUGAGGCAUGGGACUUGUCUUUGAGCUACACGUGGAGCUUCUGUCUUAAUUCAUGCACUUUUGUACCCUGAAUAAACCUCUGCGGUCCCUGAUAAUGACUAAAACCAUUUCAUUGCUGAUGAAACAGGUGGUUGAGGCCUUCAAGCAGGCACAGAAGGCCCAAAGCCCUUGGUGUAGUGAGGAAUCUGGUGCCGAUAGCUGGGCCAGUUGCCUUCAGGCUUUUCCUGAACUGGGGUGGCCUCGGUGGCCCCUGCUAUGGCUUGGGCGAUGAUGGUGAUGGGCUUCUUGUUGCAACUGUUUGACUCUUCCUGGCCUGAGUUGGGAUUCUCUCUUUUCAUGGGAGGGGGCAGCCCUGAAGCAGCUUUGGGGACUCACAGCUUGGCUCACUCUCACUGGGCGCCUUCCAUGGUCUCUGAUCAGUCACAUCCACUCAAAAGCAGCCUUGCUAGACACACUCGAGAGAGGGCCAUCCUGGCCACUCCUGAUGGCCCCCACUGGCCUUUGGUCUGUGCCAACACUCGAGUCAUUCAAGGCUUUUAUGCUUAUCGUCCCGGGAAAGUCCCUUGCUGGGAUUCUGUCCUACAACCAGCCUUGUGGCCUGGAAAACCUUUGACAUUUCCAGUGUUCUGUUUUCAAUCUCGGGAGCAGAUUCAGCCGGUGAAAACCAUCUCCCUCAGCAACGGAAUGGGCCUUCCUCCUCCUGGCUGGCAGAUUCCACUGCCCUUGGUGAAACAGCUGGGCCUCUACUCCUCCUGUGCUGCCUGCCAGCUCUUUGGCUGAGGGAGGUCAGUGAGAAGGUGCGUGCGCGUGCGCGUGCGAGAAAGCUGGCGAUGGAAGCCGGUCCUGUUGGGUGCAGAGGGGGUUGUUGUCCAUCAGAGCCCAAGACUCCAGCAGCGCCCAUUUCUGGGCUGGCCUAGCCUAGCUCAGCUUGGGGGGGGGGCUGGUUUGAAGCAGAGUCACAAACUGAAAGGCCGGGCCACGUCCAAUGGGGCAGAGUGAAGGUAUGCUAAGGGGGAUCACAAUGAUCUGCCAGGACCCUGGACAGGCCAUGGUGAUGGCAGACAGUGGCUGGAGCUGUGGCCUUAAGAAGCCUGGCUGGUCAUGCCUGGCUGUUACCCCCCCCCCCCGAUCUGUCUGUGUUCCUAAAAGAGCCAUUGCCCAAUUCUGCAGUGGAGGGUGCGUGGAACAUGAUGAGAACCUUAUCAAAGAGAUGCACUCCAAGUGAUGAGUCAGGUAGAGCCACACCCUCUGGGCUACUAGGUGGUUCCAUGGGGAAUCCCCCCCCCCUCCUGACUCUUCCCCUGCAUAAGAAGGGGGAUUGUGGCGACAGAAUGUGACAGUGUCCUGCUGGAAAGGGUUGCUGCCACAUCUUUCUUUGGGGGGGGUAUUUCCUCUUCCAGAAAGCAGUGCAUUUUUCAAAUGGGAUACCCCACCCAAAAUAAUUAUUGUACAAAGUGCACUCACUGUGCGGGAGCCCCUGUGAUAAAAUUACCAGGACAAAAAGGAAAUACUUGAAUGAGUUAGAAAAGAAUCUGAGGAGAGUAUCAUGUUGCACAGUUAAGAUAUAUUUUUAUACCGAGCACAAUUUCAUGUACAUUUUUAUUUGGGGUUUCUUUGUCUGUUUGUUUCUUUUUUACUUUCUAAUUAGAAAAAGAGAGAGAGAGCUGUAGGUAAACUUGAAAAAAUGUGAAUAGUUAAUUUUUUGGGGGUGGGGGCAUUUCCUUAUCUUCCAGAUGAGGGUGAGCAUUUGCACUAAGCCAGUUCUGCACGAGGAGGGGUAAGAGCAUAUUUCAAAGAUAUAUCAGUGGAUGAUGAUUGUAUCCUUCCAGAUGGGAAGAGAGAAUGUUGAAAAAGAAAUCCUUGGAAAAUAAAAUAAUGUAAAGUGAGAAUGAAGCCCAUAAUGACUGGGAUUUCCUGAGUGCCUUAAGCCUUUUCAAAUCACUUGUUUUCCAUGGGGAGAAAACAGAGGGGGGAAAAUACCAGAUCAGAAGGAACUCCUUCCCUGCCCUGCCGCCGCCCUCCCCCCCCCCGUUUCCCCUCCUUUGUUUACAAUAAUGCUUGAAAUGUCACUAGAGUCUGGGAGUUGCUUUCUGAUUGUAAUGAUACAUAAUGUGAAGUGGAAAUGGCAUCCCUCUAAACCUAAAAGGGAGAAGAAGAAGAAAUGGAAGCAGAAGUAUUUAUGAGCUAUACUUUUAACUUGGGAAGCCGAAUCCAAGAGUGUCAUGCAACAUUAAAUGUGAAAAGGAAGACACCCCCCCAAAUCACCACUGCUCGGCAGUGCAUUGAAGAAGGGGCAGUCCCCUGUUUGGAUGCCUUGGAAAGGCCACAGCUGCUUGGGCAUGGAACUCUGCCAGCGACAGGUGCAAGGGUGGCUUCUUUCUGUGGAAGAAAGGCUUUUGGUCUGAGAAGAGCCUCUUCGGUUCCUGGGCACAGGGUCCUGUGGUGGUGGCCUCCCUGACCUGCAAAGAGACUCCACAGCUGCCGCCCAAAUGUUGUGGCCUGUAUGAUACGGUGGUCAUUUUCAGCCCAGUCUGCUGGGGCCGUUAAGUGUUGGUGCAGGGAUCCUUGACCUGUGCCCGUGUUGGAGGCUCUCUUGCAACAGCCAUUCAGUGCUGCCAUGGCAAUGCUGGCCAGUUCACUGACGACGACAGUUGCAGAGUGCCUACCUUUGAGCGGGGGGGGGGUCUGUGCCCAACCUCAAGACCAACCUCCUCCCCUUGGGGUCUCUGCAAUCACUGCUGGGGGAGACAAAAGGGCUCAUCGAAGAGUGGCGUAUCCCUCCAACCCCGGCUCUUGCUGCCGCCACUCUGGGUUGCCUGCCCUUGGAUAUGCAGGUCUCUGCAUACCAAAGACAGUCGAGGCUGGAGAGGGAGGCGGCGGCCAUUGUGUUGCCAUUUCUAAAGUGCUCGCGGUCUUCAGACGUUCCAAUUGGUUUCUUCCACAGUAUCUUCUUUGCACUUUUAUGUAUGAGAUGGAGGGGAGGGAGCCAAACUUUGCAAUACUGUUUUUAAGAAACAAACAUUAUAAAGACAUAGUCUAAGCAGAAAAUGUAUAAAUAUUUUUAACUUGAACCUUUGGACUGCGCUUGAUUCAAAUAAAGUAUUGAUCCUUGAAUUUUUUUGAAAGAAAAGUCUUAAGAGGACAAGGUUGUUCUUAGAAUCUGUAUCAAAGUAUCCAGUUGUACUGUAACUCAUGACUGUUAAAAAUAAAAAUCCCAGUGCUAAUAGGGGAGAUUUUGCAGUGCUUUGGAGUUGUGCUUCAGCCAUGCAAAGUUACUUUCCUCUCUCUCUCUCUCUCUCUCUCUCCCUCCCCCCCUUUGUUAUUUACGUGCCAUUCCUCAUCUCUCUCCUGAGACUGUUACUUUACAGCCACAGCUAACAAUAGGGACUCACGACAGCGUCAGAUGACUGAGAGGGGGCUUGGGGGGUGGGAGGGACGCUUCAAGGUAUCGCUUCCCAGCCCACUCCCAAGACUUCAAAGUGUGGUGUUAGCUGUUUUCUUAUAAUGAAAAUCCAUUUAAAAAUGUGAUCAUUAAUGAUAAAAAUGCUUUGUAAAAUUCACAUUUACAAAAUAAUAAAGUAAAUAA